UACGAAGGUCCCGAGCGUUGUUCGGAAUCACUGGGCGUAAAGGGCGCGUAGGCGGCCUGGUAAGUCAGAUGUGAAAUCCCGGGGCUCAACCCCGGAACUGCAUCCGAUACUGCCUUGCUUGAGGGUUGGAGAGGUAGCUGGAAUUAUCGGUGUAGCAGUGAAAUGCGUGGAUAUCGAUAGGAACACUCGUGGCGAAGGCGAGCUACUGGACAACAUCUGACGCUGAGGCUCGAAGGCUAGGGGAGCAAAAGGG
rnacentral:rRNA from 1 species